rnacentral:rRNA from 1 species
GACGAACGCUGGCGGCGUGCUUAACACAUGCAAGUCGAACGGAAAGGCCCUGCUUUUGUGGGGUGCUCGAGUGGCGAACGGGUGAGUAACACGUGAGUAACCUGCCCUUGACUUUGGGAUAACUUCAGGAAACUGGGGCUAAUACCGGAUAGGAGCUCCUGCUGCAUGGUGGGGGUUGGAAAGUUUCGGCGGUUGGGGAUGGACUCGCGGCUUAUCAGCUUGUUGGUGGGGUAGUGGCUUACCAAGGCAUUGACGGGUAGCCGGCCUGGGAGGGUGACCGGCCACAUUGGGACUGAGAGACGGCCCAGACUCCUACGGGAGGCAGCAGUGGGGAAUAUUGCACAAUGGGCGGAAGCCUGAUGCAGCAACGCCGCGUUCGGGAUGACGGCCUUCGGGUUGUAAACCGCUUUCGCCUGUGACGAAGCGGGAGUGACGGUAAUGGGUAAAGAAGCACCGGCUAACUACGUG